UUGCCAGACAGAUGGAGACGGAGCAGCACGGACUUUACAAAGUCAAGGUAAUCCAUGUAAAAGUAGAUAUAAAUAUAUGGGUUAAUUGAAGUUGUAAGAGCUAGUUAGCAACAAGCCUAAGCUAUUAGCCAAGGAUUUAUAAUUAAUAAUAAGUGUUAGGAAUUUUUCCUAAUGUGCGCUCUCUGCCAAUGCAAAAAUCCCAAUCAAGCAAAUCACAACAAGCCAAAUUUGAAAAUAUCCAAGUUUAAUGGGAUUCCUGCACUCUCGGGGGAACCAGGGAGGCCACAAAUGCGACCACCAGGGGAGAGGAAAGAGACCACAUGUUUCUACUUUGGGAACUCACAAAAAAACCCUGUGGGAGUGGUCCUGACCCUCCUAGAGGGAAGCCUGGCAUGCUGGAAUUUGGAGUCCAGACCAAAGCAACUCCCAGGUCAGGGAGGCUGGGACAGAUGCUAGGGGCUGGGGACUAUGCCCCCAACUUAACAAUAAGUUUCUGCGUGGUUAUUUGGGAGCUACUGGUGGGAAAAAUAUCCCGCCUACAGUCCAGAACAUUGUUUUUAAUAAGUUAAGACUUAUUUAUUUCCCAUCCUUCCCACCUACCUCACUUCCUCUUCUCUCCACUUGAAGACCCUCUCCCUACAUGUCUCCUUCCACUAGCUCUGAGGAGCAAAGAGAAUUUUCCAGAUUUCUAAAGGUUCUCUAAGAGUGACUGCUAAAAUUCUCCAUUUAAAAAUAUCUUUAUUUUUAUUAUUUUUAAUUAUGUGUAGGUGUGUGUGUGUCUGUAUGUGGGCGUGCAUGCGAGUGCAAUUGCCUGCAGAGACCAGUGGUGUCUGAUCCUCCUGAGCUGGAGUUAUGAAUGAUUGUGAGUCACCUGAUAUGGGCACUAGGCGCUGAACUCUGGUCCUGUGAAAAUGUAACAUAUAUGCCUAAUGACUGAACCAUCCCUCUAGCCCCUAGGGCUUCCAUUUUUAUGUCUACAGGACGUCAUACAUCAAGUGAUGUAUGACAUGGAGGUUUUCCAACUAUUGAUUCUCAAGCUUCCACCCAACUUUAUUCUAUAUGGUGCAUAGUCUACAAAGUCAUUUCUUGGGCUGUUUUUAAGGUAGCAUUUCAACUACACUUGUAGAGAAUUUUUUUUUAUCCAUUCUCUCUAUCUAUUCAAUACCACUGAAUUGGUUAUCUGCCUUGGAAAUUGAAAAACAGGAGAUGGGAGUUGAAAAUAUUGAUUCUUAGGCUUUAAAAAUGGACAAAUUUAGCAAAACCCUUGUUCUUCUAGAAUUAGGCCUGGAAAUAACCACACACUGCUCUCUCGGAUAGCUUUUUCUGUAUACUAAACUGCCUUCCAAAGCUUGUGGUGUAGAACGACAGCUAUUUUUGUGGCAGACGACUGUGUGGAUCAGCAAUUAGGAUGGGACAGCCUCAGCUGUGGGGCUGCUGGGUCGGGAACUGUGGUGCCUUCUGCCUGACUGGUGCGUGGUUACUCUUCAUGGCCUGUGUGCUGUCCGGCAGAUGACUUAGGCUCCUCCACGUCACGUCUGCAUAGGGACUCUGGAGAAAGAGUCACUCCAAGGCCAAACCUGAAACUGGCAUCGCACCAAUCUGCACAUUCUAUUGAGCAAUGCACGGGGUUCUUGAUGGGAAUCUAUCUGAGUCAGAUCCCCAAAGACGCAGAGAUGGGAAGUCAGUUGUUUUUAAAAUCUGCCACACGUCUAAUGAAGAGCGGGUACCAACACAUGACUAUCACAUAUCCCUCACUUGAAACAAUAGUACGUCGUCAUGAAACAAUAGUAUGUCGUCAUACCUUUUAGCAUUGCUGCCACACGCACAGCAGACACUGAAAUAACUUUCAGUUUAGCCCGCUGUCCUAGGUCUGUAUAAUAAAUGGAUAUCUUCCUUAGACACGAUAGUGUUCAUGUGGCUGUAGUCUGUGCAGAUCUGUAUUGUAGACUAUAGGUUCUCUGGGUAGACUGAAGUAGACAUUACAAAGGACAUUCAUUAGGGUUCAUCCCUGAGGUCGACUCCUGUGGAAGAGACAGAGGAGGAGCUGAGUGACCCUGCAAGUCCGUGGCCUCAGUGGACCCUGAGGGAGCUCUGAGGUAUCAAAAGCUUGUCAGUGCAGUUAGAGAUUGGGCAGUGUGACUAAGCCUUCAUACCGAACCCUUUCAUUAGCGUGCACUAGAUGUAGGCCUCCUGUGGGGAGAACAAAACCUAGAGUCCAGAAGUACUCAGCUAUAGAUGGAGGUUUGGACAGCAGUGCCAAGGCCACAGGGCCUUCCUUCAAGAGCCAUCAAACGCUAAAGGGGUUAUGGGAAGAUUCUGGUUACAAACAACUGACUGUCUGUAGGAAACGCUGCGUGACACAGAGUGCCAUUUAUUGACUCUGUUGCUUUCCUCAGAGGGUUUCAAAUAGCUUUGUGAAGGGUUUGACUCAUAGCCCUAUUCCCUUCAGUUAGAUCUGAAAAAUCAGUAAUGUGCUCACUGAGGAAUUAAUUCAUUUCUCAUGCAAAUCUGCUUCCAUGCUGUUUCUGGCUGUAGCGUUUCCUUCCACAGGAGAAUACAUUUCUGCCAUUCUGGCCAACAAUCCUCCUCAUUGGUGCUGGGAUCAUUGGAAUGUGCUGCCCUGCCUGGCUUUGAAAACAUAUCUUAACGUAGACUUCUGUUUGAAAAAGCGAAGAUGGCAGAACACGGAUCAAUUCUCCAAGAUCUGCAUUGUAAACACAGUUGCAGCUGUUCCUGGGAUUGCCCACGAACAGACGCUUGGCACAAAGAAAGAAGAUGGGAAGUUGGGAAUCAAGUGGGAACAAACGAGCUGGCGAGAAUAUGCAUCAAAACUGCUAAGGCAAACAAUGAGUCACUGGGUCUCUACCAUUCUUCCCUGCGGAAGCCGCUCCUGGACUUUGCUGCGUUUUGUUUGUGAACAGGUUUAGAAAUAUUAUUUCAAUAAACAGUGGAUUGGCUUUAUUCUUGUUUCCAGUCCUAAGGCCACGCCUCCAGGCUUGGCUUGGGAAUGGAUUUUAUUAAUAAAAGCUGUCCAAAUAGUCUACAGUUAAAA